CAUUAACGUAUCUUCCUCGGGGUGCGAGGGUGGCCUGGCUCCGGCAAAUUGCCGUGCAGCGGGUCCCCUCCCCUCGAACACUACAAACCCACUGUGCACCUUUCGCGGUGGAGGGUGCGGUGCAAGCCCACCCGAAGCCGCGGUCUCACAGACUCGUCUCAGAAUGUCUUGCGGACUCGUUCCGCCCAUAAAUGUAACAACUUUCAACAACGGAUCUCUUGGCUCUCGCAUCGAUGAAGAACGCAGCGAAAUGCGAUAAGUAAUGUGAAUUGCAGAAUUCAGUGAAUCAUCGAAUCUUUGAACGCACCUUGCGCUCCUUGGUAUUCCGAGGAGCAUGCCUGUUUGAGUGUCUUGAAGUCAUCAAAACCCCUCCUUGCUUUUUUGCAGGGCUGGGCUUUUGGAGUUUGAGGGUGUUGCUGCCGAAGGGCGGCUCCCUCCAAAUGCUUCGGUUGGGCCUGCGGGUCGAACUCGACUGGGCGUUGUACCAUCCUCGCUCGACCGAGAUGUUCCCCUUUCUGUGCCUCGACCUCGACCGCCUGUGGAGCGACGGUCAACAAGCCAUUUGAAAUCUGACCUCAAAUCAGGUAGGACUACCC
rnacentral:rRNA from 1 species